AGAUCAUACACGAGCUGGCUGAGGUGUACGGCAUAGAAAGCGUGAGCUACGACAGUGAGCCCAAGCGCAAUGUGGUGAUUACUGCUGUAAGAGGGAAAGCAGCCUGUCCCAACUUGACUCUGACUGCUGUCAUUGAGAGGGAGACAGCAGGGAGAGCUCCACCACCUAUCGCCCACAUCAAACAACACAGCAGCAAGAAUGACUGUGGGAGCAACUGGCUGAAGGCAGUUAAAGAGGAGCCUACCAUUGACUACUUUGAUGUCCAGGAUUGAUCUUGGCCAUGA